rnacentral:lncRNA from 1 species
UACGGAACGAGAGAACGUUCAGUUUUUAGAUGUGGGCUUAAGCAAAUACGUCUUAUUAACAGUCGGAAGAGUGUUUCGUUGGUUACAAGGAAAGGAGAUGCGUGAAAAGAAAGGUACCGGAGCCUUGAAGGCUUUACCGGAGAGAUACGACAAGGCGAGAUAACAAAGGUAAAACCCUAAUCUAGCCGCCCAGUGUGUAUCAGUGAUUUCGGAUCCCCCUUACGUUGCCUUUCCUUCCCCUUUUAUAGCUGACCUCACACUCUUCCGUGACCUAGUUUGUAUCGUCUCUGUGGACUUUAACUCGCUGGGCCGAGAAGCCCAUGCUGUCUUGUGGAGUCGUUUCCUCGGGGCGUUUAGUCGAGAAGCCCAUCGAAAGCUCUCUCACAUUACGCCAAGAGAUCGACCCUUCAAACCGCCGCGCCGAGCCGAUGCUCUGCUUCAUGUGGGCCGGGCCAUCUGUUCUUCGGACCUUGAGGGAUGGUCGAAUUUACCAUCUACACGCAGCAAACCUCUCAUCAGCUGAGACCAGACAGCACCCGAAUAAGUGCAAGAGAAAAAUAUAUGAUCCCUAGUUUCAAAUUGGUUACAGAAGAUACAUGCCGAGCUAACUCAUGCGUUCCACUGAAGCAUACGGUCUCCUGUUGAGAGCCGAUUGUGUAGAGUAAGCCAUGGGAAGAAAGCGAACUUUGGAGUAUGAUGUUUGAACCAGAGACCUUUGCACCAUUCAACUGUGG